UCCAGGCCCUACGGGGGGCAGCAGGCGCGAAACCUCCGCAAUGUGAGAAAUCGCGACGGGGGGAUCCCAAGUGCCAUUCUUAACGGGAUGGCUUUUCAUUAGUGUAAAGAGCUUUUGGAAUAAGAGCUGGGCAAGACCGGUGCCAGCCGCCGCGGUAACACCGGCAGCUCUAGUGGUAGCAGUUUUUAUUGGGCCUAAAGCGUCCGUAGCCGGUUUAAUAAGUCUCUGGUGAAAUCCUGCAGCUUAACUGUGGGAAUUGCUGGAGAUACUAUUAGACUUGAGAUCGGGAGAGGUUAGAGGUACUCCCAGGGUAGAGGUGAAAUUCUGUAAUCCUGGGAGGACCGCCUGUUGCGAAGGCGUCUGACUGGAACGAUUCUGACGGUGAGGGACGAAAGCUAGGGGCGCGAACCGGAUUAGAUACCCGGGUAGUCCUAGCUGUAAACGAUGCGGACUUGGUGUUGGGGUGGCUUUGAGCUGUCCCAGUGUCGAAGGGAAGCUGUUAAGUCCGCCGCCUGGGAAGUACGGUCGCAAGACUGAAGCUUAAAGGAAUUGGCGGGGGAGCACCACAACGCGUGGAGCCUGCGGUUUAAUUGGAGUCAACGCCGG
rnacentral:rRNA from 1 species